GGGAGCGGAUGGGUGCUGGUGUGCCCCGCGGUCUUCAAAACCGUUGAGAGGGGUGAAGAGCCUCUUAGGUGAGUUCGAUUCUUACACGUUCCCGCCA
rnacentral:tRNA from 1 species